rnacentral:rRNA from 1 species
AUGCCCAUGUCCUUCAUGAUAUUUGAGCUUGUGCAUUUCCUUAGCAAAUUUGUUGUGAUCUUUCUCGAUGGCAUAUUCAUACAUCAUGAUCUUCUUGCCUACCAUCAAUUACAUGAUAACUUAUUCAUAUCGAGCAUCCAUUGCCAUAUUCAUGCUAUUGAUAAACCGUCUCACUAUGACAUCAUUUUGCACCGUGGUUGCAUUGAUCAUAUUCACAACACAUUUGUGUGCACAAUGAAUGCUUUUGCUCCCAUGAUCGCUUUGCAUAUCAUUCUAUAUCAUCUUGAUAAGCUUCUUGAGCUUUGCCAUGAACCAUCUUGCUGCACAGACUCAUUCUUACUUAAUGGACACUUUGUAUGCGCUAACCAUUGUAUUUCCGAGUGUCGUUUGUGUUUGUUCUUUUUGCACAUAUUCUCCUCCGGCGACACCUUGGAGUACUUGGAGUGCGCCAUGACUUAA